GACGAACGCUGGCGGCGUGCUUAACACAUGCAAGUCGUGCGGUAAGGCCCUUUCGGGGGUACACGAGCGGCGCACGGGUGCGUAACACGUGAGCAACCUGCCCUUCACUUUGGGAUAACUGCCGGAAACGGUGGCUAAUACCGGAUAUGACUUCCUCACGCAUGUGGGGUGGUGGAAAGCCUUCGGGUGGUGGGGGAUGGGCUCGCGGUCUAUCAGCUUGUUGGUGGGGUGAUGGCCUACCAAGGCUUCGACGGGUAGCCGGCCUGAGAGGGUGGCCGGCCACACUGGGCCUGAGACACGGCCCAGACUCCUACGGGAGGCAGCAGUGGGGAAUAUUGGACAAUGGGCGAACGCCUGAUCCAGCAACGCCGCGUGAGGGAUGACGGCCUUCGGGUUGUAAACCUCUUUCGCCUGCGACGAAGCGAGAGUGACGGUAGCAGGUAAAGAAGCACCGGCCAACUACGUG
rnacentral:rRNA from 1 species